UUUUUCUGAUAUUGUGCUUAAAAGAAAUAUGUAAUAUUUGAUGAAAGUUUUUAGAUCCACUGCAGAUGUUAAAUGGCCGACGUUGAGGAUUUUGUAUGACAAACAAAACUUCGUGUUUCUCCCAUGUAAAGGUGUAGGAAGCCUUUGCUUAAAUGCAUUGCAUAAGGUCAUGAAGCCAUAACCAGAAAUAACAAUCAGAAGGUCAUGACUGGAGGAGAGGGCAAGUUGGAGGAGAAGAUCCAUGAGCCAAAGAUGGCCGGUCUUGAUGCUUGCACAUCACAUCCAGGUAAUUGGCGAGCUGAGCCUUUUUUGACCAGUUCUAGCUGAAUGUGAUGCUGGAGCUGUCAGAUGUUGUGGCGCUCGCGAAGGGGAGAAGUAGAGUCGGCCUUUAUGCAGUGAUAGUGGAGGAGCAGAGGUGGCUAGGAGGGAACCUUGGCUGCGGAAAGUAUAAUGCUUGUUUUGGGCCUGAGAAUGGAUAGUUCUUCUCUGAUCUGGGCAGGUUGCAUGUGUCAAGUAGCUAAUAUAUAUGUUGGCAUAAUCUAGCUUGGUUAGUGCUUGAGACAGUUUGGUUCCCGUGGCUGCUAGCAAGUCCGUAUCAUUGGA